AACCUACCUUUUACAGAGGAAUAGCCUUUAGAAAUGAAGAUUAAUACCUCAUGGUAUUGUAGACUGGCAUCAGUUUAUAAUUAAAGAUUUAUCGGUAAAAGAUGGCUAUGCGUCCUAUUAGUUAGUUGGUAAGGUAACGGCUUACCAAGACAGCGAUAGGUAGGGGUCCUGAGAGGGAGAUCCCCCACACUGGUACUGAGACACGGACCAGACUCCUACGGGAGGCAGCAGUGAGGAAUAUUGGACAAUGGAGGAGACUCUGAUCCAGCCAUGCCGCGUGUAGGAAGAAUGCCCUAUGGGUUGUAAACUACUUUUAUACAGGAAGAAACACUGGUAUGUAUACCAGCUUGACGGUACUGUAAGAAUAAGGACCGGCUAACUCCGUGCCAGCAGCCGCG
rnacentral:rRNA from 1 species